rnacentral:rRNA from 1 species
AGUGAACGCUGGCGGUAGGCCUAACACAUGCCAGUCGAACGGCAGCACAGUAAGAGCUUGCUCUUACGGGUGGCGAGUGGCGGACGGGUGAGGAAUACAUCGGAAUCUACUUUUUCGUGGGGGAUAACGUAGGGAAACUUACGCUAAUACCGCAUACGACCUACGGGUGAAAGCAGGGGAUCUUCGGACCUUGCGCGAUUGAAUGAGCCGAUGUCGGAUUAGCUAGUUGGCGGGGUAAAGGCCCACCAAGGCGACGAUCCGUAGCUGGUCUGAGAGGAUGGUAGGCCACCCUGGAGCGGAGACACGCACCAGACUCCUACGGGAGGCAGCAGUGGGGAAUAUUGGACAAUGGGCGCAAGCCUGAUACAGCCAUACCGCGUGGGUGAAGAAGGCCUUCGGGUUGUAAAGCCCUUUUGUUGGGAAAGAAAAGCAGCAGGUUAAUACCCCGCUGUUCUGACGGUACCCAAAGAAUAAGCACCGGCUAACUUCGUG